rnacentral:lncRNA from 10 species
GGCAAACGUGGUGAGGCAUCACUCUCAUGAUUACAUUAUGUUGUAGAAGACUUGGCCUUGCCAGCUAACUCUAGAAAUUCUCUUUGCUAAAGCAGGCAGUCAUGCUAGAAAAGCCCACAUGGCAAGGAACUGCAAGCAGCCUCUAGGAACUGUGGGUGACCUCCCACCAACAUCCAGCAAAAAGCCCAGGCCCUCAGUCCCACAACUGCAAGAAAAUCAAUUCUGCCAACCACAGGAAUUUGGACGCCAAUUCCUCCCCUGCCAAGCCUCCAGAGGAGAACACAACCCGGUCAAUAUCUUCACGGCAGCAGCCUAAGACCCUAAGCAGAGAACCCAGCAAGUCAUCCUGACCAUCCUGCCAUUGUCUAUCUUCAUAAUAAAUGGCCAUCCCUGAUGUGUGUUCAAGGCCUCACAGUGCCCCCGUGAGAGCCAGCUCCUGUUGCUUUUCCCCAGCCUGGGGCAUCAGCAGCUCCUGUUCAUGACUUCACACCAUCACAGAACCUUAGUGUCAGAAGGUACUUUAGGGGUCAAGUCCAAUUCCUUCUUCUAUUUUGAAAAUGAGGGAGUCUCUGGUCCGGAGAUAUGAAGUGACUUGACUUGUCCAAGGCUCAAGGCAAAUAGAAGAGCCAAUACUGGGUCCCAGGCCCCUGUCCAGUGCAAGACUUCCUACACUGGGAUCUCUGGCUGUCAGAGUGCACCUACUCAGGGGACAGUCUGAUCAUUCCAUUUCACAGCUGGUGCUUUUGUCAAAUUAGUCCUGAUGUGAAGACCUAGACUCAGUACUUCUGGACUUCCAUUUGCAGUGACUGUCUCACUAAUGGGGCCACCCCACAGUAUGAAGAAUUCAACAGUUUUAGAACUGCGUCCAAGAGAGCUUACUGCAUUUAUUAUGGCGUCAAUAUUUUUCAUUUAGCAAAAGCAAAGUGGUGUUCAAGCUAAGUCCCAGAUACAGAAAUAGAAACUGAACUGGGUGCAGUGGCUCACGCCUGUAAUCUCGCACUUUGGAAGGUCAAGAAAGAGGACUGCUUGAGGCCAGGGGUUUGAAACAUAGGCCUGGUCAACAUAGUAAGACCAUCUCUACAAAAGAAAAAUUAAAAAAAAUUAUCUGGGCAUGGUAGUGCACACCUGUAGUCCCAGCUACUCAGGAAGCUGAGGUGGGAGGAUUGCUUGAGCCUGGGAGUUCAAGGCUGCUGCAGUGAGCCAUGAUUGCACCACUGUACUCCAGCCUGGGCAACAGAACAAGACACUGUCUCAAAAAAAAAAAAAAAAAAAAAAAAAAAAAAGCUGACAUUCUACCCCUGGUCCUUGCCCAUUACAACAUCACCUCUCCCAGCACAGAAGGAAGAUUCCCAGAACCCGCCCAUCCUGUCUGUUUACAUCUCAACACAAUGUCACCAUGUCUUCCCUCAGGCACCUCCACUGGACUCUGCUGUUUUUCUGAGGAGGCGCAGCACUGCCCUCCACUUCCUUCUACCCAUGCCUCUCUUCCCCAGUUUAAAAUGGCCGGAAGCUUUAUAUGAUAACUAAAAUCUCACUUAAUCCUGAACAAAGGCUGAUGGAGGGGAGCAAGUCGGAGUGGAAGGAGGGGAGAGGACUGGAUUUGCUUCUAAAAUCAGCCGUCCGGGGUUUCUGGAGCCCUGGAACAUUGAAAGCUUCUUCCACAUCUGCAAGACUUCAUCCUGACACACCACUGCCUGCCCCAUCUUUCAGGACUAGUGGUAAAAGCACCACAGCUACCUACAAACACAUCACCGCAUCCUAAUUACAGGCCGACACUGGAGGUCAGGGGUUUCCAAAGCCCCUCUGCUGCACCAUGCUGCAAGGGACAGCAGGGGGCGCACUACUCUCGGUCCAGGAGACAGGACUCCUUGUCUACCAGCCUAAAUCUCAGCACAAAGCCUGCCACAUGGCAGGAUGCUGUGGUCUGAAUGCUGGUGUCCCCCAAAAUUCACAUGUUGAAACAUAAUCCCCAGUGUGGUAGUAUUAAGAGAUAGGGACUUUGGGGGAGUGAUUAAAUCACAACGGCUCGUCCUCAUGAAUGGGAUUAGUGCCUUUGUAAAGGAGAUUGAGGCCAGGUGUGGUGGCUGACACCUGUAAU